rfam:Triticum aestivum genome assembly, contig: Triticum_aestivum_CS42_TGACv1_scaffold_569454_7AS
AUAGUACUUCCUCCGUCCGAAAAAGCUUCUCCCAAGCUUGUCUCUCAAAUGGAUGUAUCUAGCACUAACUUGGUCUAGAUACAUCUAUUUUAGGAACAUACUUUUUCGGACAGAGGGAGUAGUAC